UUAAGGCGAUGAAGCAGGAAGUUGCUGAGCUAUCAGGUAAUUUCUGCGGAGAAUUGUCCUCGCGGGACGAGGGCGA
rfam:Mogibacterium sp. CM50 ctg120007703405, whole genome shotgun sequence.